rnacentral:rRNA from 1 species
UACAGAGGGUGCGAGCGUUGUCCGGAAUCACUGGGCGUAAAGGGCGCGUAGGUGGCCUGGUAAGUAGGGGGUGAAAUCUCGCGGCUCAACUGCGAGGCUGCCUCCUAAACUGUCAGGCUCGAGCAGAGUAGAGGCAGGUGGAAUUCCCGGUGUAGCGGUGGAAUGCGUAGAGAUCGGGAGGAACAUCGGUGGCGAAGGCGGCCUGCUGGGCUCUUGCUGACACUGAGGCGCGACAGCGUGGGGAGCAAACAGGG